UUUAAAUAUAAAUUACUAAGAAAAAAAAACAUUUUUCUUUUGCAUAGUAGUUUCAAAGCUAUAUGAAGUCAAAGUUCAGUUGUAAACUUUUGAAAGAACAACCAUCAUGUUUUGUUGAGUGUUA